AUUGAACGCUGGCGGCAGGCUUAACACAUGCAAGUCGAGCGGGGUGAUGGUGCUUGCACUAUCACUUAGCGGCGGACGGGUGAGUAAUGCUUAGGAAUCUGCCUAUUAGUGGGGGACAACAUCUCGAAAGGGAUGCUAAUACCGCAUACGUCCUACGGGAGAAAGCAGGGGAUCACUUGUGACCUUGCGCUAAUAGAUGAGCCUACGUCGGAUUAGCUAGUUGGUGGGGUAAAGGCCUACCAAGGCGACGAUCUGUAGCGGGUCUGAGAGGAUGAUCCGCCACACUGGGACUGAGACACGACCCAGACUCCUACGGGAGGCAGCAGUGGGGAAUAUUGGGCAAUGGGGGGAACCCUGAUCCAGCCAUGCCGCGUGUGUGAAGAAGGCCUUAUGGUUGUAAAGCACUUUAAGCGAGGAGGAGGCUCUUUUGGUUAAUACCCAAGAUGAGUGGACGUUACUCGCAGAAUAAGCACCGGCUAACUCUGUGCCAGCAGCCGCGGUAA
rnacentral:rRNA from 1 species